rnacentral:rRNA from 1 species
GAUGAGCGCUGGCGGCGUGCCUAAUACAUGCAAGUCGAGCGAACGGACGAGAAGCUUGCUUCUCUGAUGUUAGCGGCGGACGGGUGAGUAACACGUGGAUAACCUACCUAUAAGACUGGGAUAACUUCGGGAAACCGGAGCUAAUACCGGAUAAUAUUUUGAACCGCAUGGUUCAAAAGUGAAAGACGGUCUUGCUGUCACUUAUAGAUGGAUCCGCGCUGCAUUAGCUAAUUGGUAAGGUAACGGCUUACCAAGGCAACGAUGCAUAGCCGACCUGAGAGGGUGAUCGGCCACACUGGAACUGAGACACGGUCCAGACUCCUACGGGAGGCAGCAGUAGGGAAUCUUCCGCAAUGGGCGAAAGCCUGACGGAGCAACGCCGCGUGAGUGAUGAAGGUCUUCGGAUCGUAAAACUCUGUUAUUAGGGAAGAACAUAUGUGUAAGUAACUGUGCACAUCUUGACGGUACCUAAUCAGAAAGCCACGGCUAACUACGUG